UACGAAGGGGGCUAGCGUUGCUCGGAAUCACUGGGCGUAAAGCGCACGUAGGCGGAUCUUUAAGUCAGGGGUGAAAUCCUGGAGCUCAACUCCAGAACUGCCUCUGAUACUGGGGAUCUUGAGUCCGGAAGAGGUAAGUGGAACUGCGAGUGUAGAGGUGAAAUUCGUAGAUAUUCGGAAGAACACCAGUGGCGAAGGCGGCUCACUGGUCCGGUACUGACGCUGAGGCGCGAAAGCGUGGGGAGCAACAGG
rnacentral:rRNA from 1 species